rnacentral:rRNA from 1 species
GACGAACGCUGGCGGCGUGCUUAACACAUGCAAGUCGAACGGAAAGGCUCCAGCUUGCUGGAGUACUCGAGUGGCGAACGGGUGAGUAACACGUGGGUAAUCUGCCCUGCACUCUGGGAUAAGCCUGGGAAACUGGGUCUAAUACUGGAUAUGACCUUUCUCCUUAUGGGGUUUGGUGGAAAGUUUUUCGGUGUAGGAUGAGCCCGCGGCCUAUCAGCUUGUUGGUGGGGUGAUGGCCUACCAAGGCGACGACGGGUAGCCGGCCUGAGAGGGUGAUCGGCCACAUUUGGACUGAGAUACGGCCCAGACUCCUACGGGAGGCAGCAGUGGGGAAUAUUGCACAAUGGGCGGAAGCCUGAUGCAGCGACGCCGCGUGAGGGAUGACGGCCUUCGGGUUGUAAACCUCUUUCAGCAGGGACGAAGCGUAAGUGACGGUACCUGCAGAAGAAGCACCGGCUAACUAUGUG